rnacentral:rRNA from 1 species
GGACGAACGCUGGCGGCAUGCCUAAUACAUGCAAGUCGAGCGAACAGAUGAAGUGCUUGCACUUCUGACGUUAGCGGCGAACGGGUGAGUAACACGUAAGGAAUCYACCUAUAAGCGGGGGAUAACAUUCGGAAACGGGUGCUAAUACCGCAUAAUAUYUUCUUCCGCAUGGAAGAARAUUGAAAGACGGCUCUGCUGUCACUUAUAGAUGACCUUGCGGUGCAUUAGUUAGUUGGUGGGGUAAUGGCCUACCAAGACGAUGAUGCAUAGCCGACCUGAGAGGGUGAUCGGCCACAUUGGGACUGAGACACGGCCCAAACUCCUACGGGAGGCAGCAGUAGGGAAUCUUCCGCAAUGGGCGAAAGCCUGACGGAGCAAUGCCGCGUGAGUGAAGAAGGCCUUCGGGUCGUAAAACUCUGUUAUAAGAGAAGAACAAAUUGUAGAGUAACUGCUACAGUCUUGACGGUAUCUUAUCAGAAAGCCACGGCUAACUAC